rnacentral:rRNA from 1 species
AUUGAAUGCUGGCGGCAGGCCUAACACAUGCAAGUCGAACGAGUGGCGGACGGGUGAGUAAUGUCUGGGAAACUGCCUGAUGGAGGGGGAUAACUACUGGAAACGGUAGCUAAUACCGCAUACCAUCGGAUGUGCCCAGAUGGGAUUGGCGAGUAGUGGGGGUAAAGGCUCACCUAGGCACCGAUCCCUAGCUGGUCUGCGAGGAUGACCAGCCACACUGGAACUGAGACACGGUCCAGACUCCUACGGGAGGCAGCAGUGGGGAAUAUUGCACAAUGGGCGCAAGCCUGAUGCAGCCAUGCCGCGUGUAUGAAGAAGGCCUUCGGGUUGUAAAGUACUUUCAGCAGGGAGGCGUUACCCGCAGAAGAAGCACCGGCUAACUACGUGCCAGCAGCCGCGGUAAUUC